rnacentral:rRNA from 1 species
CCGCAACGAGCGCAACCCUUAUCAAUAGUUGCCAGCGGUUCGGCCGGGCACUCUAUUGAGACUGCCGUUGACAAAACGGAGGAAGGUGGGGAUGACGUCAAGUCCUCAUGGCCUUUAUGUCCAGGGCUACACACGUGCUACAAUGGCCGGUACAAAGCGCUGCAAACCUGCAAGGGGGAGCCAAUCGCAAAAAGCCGGUCUCAGUUCGGAUUGGAGUCUAGUUAGAGAGCUCCAUGAAGUUGGAAUCGCUAGUAAUCGCAGAUCAGCACGCUGCGGUGAAUACGUUCCCG